UGCAUUCACUACUGUGAUUCGCUCUGGAUAAGAGCGUCUGCUAAAUGACUGUAA
rfam:Salmo salar isolate Sally breed double haploid chromosome ssa03, whole genome shotgun sequence.